rnacentral:rRNA from 1 species
UACGUAGGCAGCAAGCGUUGUUCGGAGUUACUGGGCGUAAAGGGCGCGUAGGCGGCUCCGCACGUCCGUUGUGAAAUCGCCCGGCUCAACUGGGCGGGGUCAGCGGAUACGGCAGAGCUUGAGCAAGCUAGGGGGCAAUGGAAUUCCCGGUGUAGUGGUGGAAUGCGUAGAUAUCGGGAGGAACACCAGUGGCGAAGGCGGUUGCCUGGGGCUUUGCUGACGCUGAUGCGCGAAAGCGUGGGGAGCGAUCCGG